GAGAGGUAGUAGGGCAUCUGGUCGCAAGAACAGAUGGCCCUUGCACACCAUGACUUGACAACAAUCAAUUGAAUACCAAAAGGCAAUGCAAGUGCCGUCUCUCCUUGCGACAAGACUCCCCAACCUCAAUGGGAAGUUACAUCGAUCUUUUGGACGGUCUUUGCUGGAGAAGAAGAUUGAGGAGAAAUUCAAUAACCGUGUUCAACAAGGGUUUUGAAUGGGCAUUGUAGUUCUUACGAAGUUUCUUAAUCUGAUCCCUGUCUGUGUCGAAAAGAUCGACUUGCACGACCCGCUUAUUAAGUAAUUGGGUUACAAUCAGUCAAAAAAGAAGAAGGUAAAUCAUGACAGAGAACAGUAGUAAUUUUGCUGCUGGAUCCUUCACUCGUUUUCGUUGUUUUUGCUUUUGCGUGGCAUUCCGGAGGAUGUGUCGUAUACUACAAGAGCACAGAAAUUUGAUCAUGGUAUAUAUGCUUGGUUGAGAGGGCUCAUAAAAAAAAACCUGAUUAGAAAGUUCCCUGAAGUUAGCUGUCAAUAGAUGGGAAUUUCACAAAUGAAAUUAUAAUUGUUUCAUUCAAUGUACAAUUCUUAAAGUACUAAUUAGGACUUGUAUCCAAUAUUAACCCAGAUUUGUAAGUGUGAAUAAGUAUGGGAUAUUAGCAAUUUAUCUUCU